UACGUAGGAUCCAAGCGUUGUCCGGAUUUACUGGGUGUAAAGGGUGCGCAGGCGGACUUGUUAGUCAGAGGUGAAAUCUCACUGCUCAACAGUGAAACUGCCUUUGAUACUGCAGGUCUUGAAUCCAGAAGAGAGUUGUGGAAUUCCGAGUGUAGCAGUGAAAUGUGUAGAUAUUCGGAAGAACACCAGCGGCGAAGGCAGCAACUUGGUCUGGUAUUGACGCUCAGGCACGAAAGCAUGGGGAUCAAACAGGAGUUAGAUACCCUAGUACG
rnacentral:rRNA from 1 species